GGUCUCCUACGGGAGGCAGCAGUGAGGAAUAUUGGUCAAUGGGAGAGAUCCUGAACCAGCCAAGCCGCGUGAGGGAAGACGGCCCUAUGGGUUGUAAACCUCUUUUGUCGGAGAACAAAACCCGGGACGAGUCCCGGACUGCGUGUAUCCGAAGAAAAAGCAUCGGCUAACUCCGUGCCAGCAGCCGCGGUAAUACGGAGGAUGCGAGCGUUAUCCGGAUUUAUUGGGUUUAAAGGGUGCGUAGGCGGUCCGUUAAGUCAGCGGUAAAAUUGCGGGGCUGAACCCAGUCGAGCAGUUGAAACUGG
rnacentral:rRNA from 1 species